GUGGCCAGGCAGGCAGGUGGACGAGUCCAGGCAGCGGCUGAGUCAGUGUGUGUGGAAUGUUCUGGCCGCUCCCAGCUGCACCCUGCCCCUACCUGCCACCACCUCACCUUCAUCCUCAGGCGCUGCGGCCCUGAGCCCCUGCCAGGAAUGCACCUUUAGCCCAGGCCUGCUCAGUGAGCUCCGCCGACAGCCAGCCCUGCUCCUCCCGCCAUGACCCUGCAGACCCCUCUGGGCUUCCAAGUUCCUGGGGGCUGCAGUGAACAUGCUCCACCUGUAUGGCUGGCAAACCACGGUGGGCCCCAGCUGUGCAGCGUAGAAAGAUGGGGCACCCACCAGACUCUCCCAGUGCCCCGGCCCCAGCUGGCACCACAGCUAUACCUGGGCUUAUUCCAGACCUUGUCGCCGGGACCCCCUGGCCCCGCUGGGCUCUCAUUGCCGGCGCCCUUGCCGCGGGCAUCCUCCUCGUCUCCUGCCUCCUCUGUGCUGCCUGCUGCUGCUGCCGCCACCACAGGAAGAAGCCCAGGGACAAGGAGGCCGUGGGUCUGGGCAGUGCCCGUGGCACCACCACCACCCACCUGGUGCAACCUGAUGUGGAUGGCCUGGAGUCCAGCCCGGGGGGUGCUCAGCAAUGGGGGCGCCUGCAGCUCUCCCUGGAGUACGACUUUGGAAGCCAGGAGGUGAAGAGCCCUGCUGUGCAGGACCAGCGGUUCUGCGAGUUUCCGGAAAGGGUGACGGGGGAAGGGCAGACCCCGUGCCCUGGGUGGUGGGGAGCUGACAGGGCAGGGGCCCUUGGCUGAGCCCACCCCCCUGGCUCCCAGAUCAGGGUGGGCCUGAGGCAGGCAGCCGACCUGAGGCCUGGGGGCACCGUGGACCCCUAUGCCCGGGUCAGCGUCUCCACCCGGGCCGGACACAGACAUGAGACAAAAGUGCACCGAGGCACGCUCUGCCCCGUGUUUGACGAGACCUGCUGCUUCCACGUGAGUCAGGGAUGGUCGGCUGGGUGGGCCUGGACGGCUGGAUGGGCCUGGGCUGGGUGGGCCUGGGCAGCUGGGUGGGCCUGAGCUAGGGCAGCAGGGCCUGGCUCACGCCGCUGCCUCAGAUCCCGCAGGCGGAACUGCCAGGGGCCACCCUGCAGGUGCAGCUUUUCAACUUCAAGCGCUUCUCGGGGCAUGAGCCCCUGGGUGAGCUCCGCCUGCCACUGGGCACCGUGGAUCUGCAGCAUGUUCUGGAGCACUGGUACCCGCUGGGCCCGCCGGCUGCCACUGAGCCCGAGCAGGUCGGGGAGCUGUGCUUCUCUCUCCGGUACGUGCCCAGCUCAGGCCGGCUGACCGUGGUGGUGCUGGAGGCUCGAGGCCUGCGUCCAGGACUGGCAGAGCCCUACGUGAAGGUCCAGCUCAUGCUGAACCAGAGGAAGUGGAAGAAGAGAAAGACAGCCACCAAAAAGGGCACGGCGGCCCCCUACUUCAAUGAGGCCUUCACCUUCCUGGUGCCCUUCAGCCAGGUCCAGGUGGGCCACCGGGAGGCAGGGGCAGAGCGAGACCCAGUGCCGGACCACGACGACUGUGGUCUUUCUCCCCCAACCCCAACCUCUGGCCUGUCUCUGCACAGAAUGUGGACCUGGUGCUGGCCGUCUGGGACCGCAGCCUGCCGCUCCAAACUGAGCCCGUAGGCAAGGUGCACCUGGGUGCCCGGGCCUCGGGGCAGCCCCUGCAGCACUGGGCAGACAUGCUGGCCCACGCCCGGCGGCCCGUCGCCCAGUGGCACCCCCUGCGGCCAGCCAGGGAGGUGGACCGCAUGCUGGCCCUGCAGCCCCGCCUUCGCCUGCGCCUGCCCUUGCCCCACUCCUGAAUGCACCACGUGCCUCUCUUUCCCCGCUGAGCCCAGGCACUUGCCCAGGCCGCCCUGCAGGACCACUGCAAUAAACGCCUUCUCCUGCCA
rnacentral:sRNA from 1 species